rnacentral:lncRNA from 1 species
UUGUCCGAAUUUUUCCCUUGAUUGGUUUAGGAGAAGGCAGUAUCUCUCUCUCUCUCAACAACCGCACUCGGACUCGUCUCCCACUCUCACUUUAGUAAGCGAUCUUCGUCUCUCUCUCUCUCUAAUUUUUCCUCAUUGUAUACAUCUACCGAUCUAAGUGUUUGACUAUGUUCGUAAAUUUGCUGAUUUUGAUUGAUUGUUGCAAAUCAUGAAUUGAUUAUGUGUUGUGUUUUUCUCGUUUGGAGAUUGGAUGAAAAAAUUUCUAGUUUUUCUAGUGAUUAGCUUUGUUUUGUAUGAAUAGGGUUUCUUCUAUGGAUAUUUGUGAUUCAUCUUAUUCUAUUUUUUCCAUAAGUUGACUAGAAAAUCAGAAAAUAAAAUUACAAUAUUAGAAGUAAAUCCACUCAAGUCAAGAAAAAGAUGGAAAGUCAUAACUUUUUCUUAGGAUUUUUUUUAAAAAUGUUUUUCAUUAAUUUUAUUUUAUUGGGUUCUCUUCGUCAUAAUAAUCUGGUAAAGUAAAAACUCUGACCAGAAAUUGAAAAAUAAUUUUUUUUAUCACACUUCAUAGCCUUUAGAUUUUCAGAACUAUUCGGUAAAUUUUUAGAAUUAAUUUUGCAGUACAAUAUUUUUUAAAAUUACUUUUGAAAAAUUAAAAAAUAUCAUUUUCAUAUGUUAUUUCUUUUUUUAGCUAAAAUAAUUUUUCUGCAUGUGAAAAUAACUUUAUAAUAUUUUCUAAAAUUUUCUUUUAAAACCGUCAAUCAAUUUUUUUUUUAAAUAUUUAAUAAAAAUAAAUCUGAAAACUGAACCAAAUAGGGUUCUAAUGAAGGGAUUGAUGUGUGUCCAUCAAAUUUUAAUAUUUUCAGAUUCCUCGACGUAGAGUAACAUAAGAAAUAAUAUGUAAAGGCUUGAAUAUUAUUAGUCACACAUCACCUCAUAUAUACUAUAACCUAGGCUAGAUAAGGAAAACUAAAAUGAAAAGGACAUCUUCCUAAUUAACCAAUGGUCAACACUGACCUAUUAUAGAUAAUAAAUUAAGAAGUUUCCUAGUAAAUUAAGAAGUUUCCUAAUUAAUUAGGAACCAACUCUUUUAAUUCCAACACUGACAACCCCCCCCCAAAACCUUUUCCCCCUCAAAUCUGAGGCGAAAGAUAUCAACAAGCCGCCAGCUUGACAAGAGAUGACUCAACACGAGGGCCAAUCGACUUAGUGAACCUAUCAGCCGUCUGAGCAGAUGAUUGAACAAAGCUGGUAGUGAUAACCCCAACCCCUGAACUAACUUUUUCCCGAAUGUGAAGUGAAUAUCAACUUCAAUGUGUUUUGUUCUCCUCAUGAAGAACUGAUCCGAGGAUAACAUGAUAGCUGACUUAUCUGUCACAAAACAAGUAAGAUGGUCUGUUUACUGGAGAACCCAACUCAUUUAGAGAGGGACCGAAGCCAAAUAAUUUCACAUUUUGUUCCCCCCUGACCAUGGCACGUACUCAGCUUCGGUCAGAAGAUCGAGAGACAACUGCUUGCUUUUUUUACUUGUCCAAGAUAAUGAGAUGACUUACCAUGAAAGGUACAAAAACCAGAAGUAGAGCGUCUAUCACUCUUAGACCCCGCAUAUCGGCAUCUGUAAAGCAUAAGAGAGGCUGACUGGACUUCCAGACGUAGAGAACAUCAACGACGGUACAUGAUUUGAAGUCCGGAGAAUGUAUAUACAGCAUCUAGGUGAGAGGUCGCGGUGAAUGCAUAAACUGGCUCACAAUACUGACCGCAAAUGUCAAUCGGGUUCUUGUUUCGUCACUAAAUGAGGCCGACCCACAAGUCGCUGAUAGCUAGAUGUCUGGGCAACAAUUACCCUGACUCGGCUGAUAUCUUAUCUUUAAUUUGUUUACCAUAGGAAUAGCUGCCGGCGACAUCCACGCAUCCUGUAUCCUGAAGUGAGAUCAAGAGAAGACUUCCGCUGGGAGAGAGAGAUACCAUGGCGAGACCGAGCAAACUCAAUACCAAGGAAGUACGCAGAGGACCCACUCCUUAUGUCAAACCUUUCCCGGACCCACAUCUUCACCUGAACUAUGCCAGAAGCGUCGUCUCCCCUUGAUAAUAAUAUCAUCAACAUAACUGAGAUAAGAAAUACCCGCCCCUGAGACUGGCGCGAAUAAAGCAAGUUGAUCUUAGUGGCAACUGCCGAAAUCCAUAGACCAAACUACCUCCCUGAAGGCGGUGGAACCAAGCUGAGGAGAGCUUCAGGCCAUAGAUAAGAUUUUCGAAGGCGACAAACAUACAUCCCCGAAUACUCCCCCUCUGAGCCCGAAAACCUGGGUGGAUCCAAUAUAUAGUCUCUGAGAUAUCACCAUAAGAAAAUGCAUUCUUGACAUCCAUUGGUGAAGAGGCCACGAGUGAGAAGCAGCUAAGGAAAUCAAAAUGCGAACUGUGUUUAAUUUGGCAACUGUGGCAAACCGUAGCACCAAAAUCCUUACCCGGAAAUCUGAGUAAAACCCUAGCACCAGACCGAGCUUAU